rnacentral:lncRNA from 1 species
UUUUUGUAUGUUCAACUGGAUUGCAAUUUCUAAACCAGCAAUAAGAGCUUCAUAUUCAGCCUCAUUAUUUGUGCGAGGCUCAGAAAGGGCUAAUGAGUACCUUAAAAUGCCUCCUUCAGGUGUUACAAAGAUUAACCCUAUCCCGGCCUUAAUCUUAGGGAUAUUUGGACUGAAAGCUGGUUGAAUUGAGGAUGCGCCAUCAAAAUACAUUUUUCAAUAGGGUUGGUCUUCUUCAGUAAACAUAAUAUGCUCAUCGGGCAAAUCACAGAUCAAAGGUGAGUCAUCUGGAAUUGGGUGCGCAGCUAGAAAAUCAGCAAGUGCUUGACCUUUGAUGGCUUUCUGUGGUACAUAAGUGAUGUCGAAUUCAAGGAGUAUAACAGCCCACUUCGCCAACCUUCCAGUCAAAACUGGUCUUGUCAUUAAGAAUUUAAGUGGGUUCACCCUCGAAAUUAA